GGAAAAGCUCAGGUUGUAGAGUGUGAGACUCUUCGUCUCGGGGCUGUGGGUUUGAACCCCACGUUGGCCA